rnacentral:rRNA from 1 species
GNUAAACGCUGGCGGCGUGCCUAACACAUGCAAGUCAACGGACAGCAUUUUGUAGCAAUACGAGGUGUAUCUUAGUGGCGACGGGCGAGUAACGCGUGAGGAACCUGCCUUUCAGAGGGGAAUAACGAACGGAAACGUUCGCUAAUACCGCAUAACGUAUUUUUUCUGCAUGGAAGAGAUACCAAAGGAGCAAUCCGCUGAGAGAUGGCCUCGCGUCCGAUUAGUUAGUUGGCGGGGUAACGGCCCACCAAGACGACGAUCGGUAGCCGAACUGAGAGGUUGAUCGGCCGCAUUGGGACUGAGACACGGCCCAGACUCCUACGGGAGGCAGCAGUGGGGGAUAUUGCACAAUGGAGGAAACUCUGAUGCAGCAACGCCGCGUGAGGGAAGAAGGUCUUCGGAUUGUAAACCUAAGUUGUCAGGGACGAACAAAUGACGGUACCUGAAAAGAAAGCUCCGGCUAACUACGUG